rnacentral:rRNA from 1 species
GAUGAACGCUGGCGGCGUGCUUAACACAUGCCAGUCGAACGGAAAGGCUCCUGCUUGCAGGGUUACUCGAGUGGCGAACGGGUGAGUAACACGUGGGUUAUCUGCCCUGCACUUCGGGAUAAGCCUGGGAAACUGGGUCUAAUACCGGAUAGGACCACAUCUUGGAUGGUGUGGUGGAAAGUUUUUCGGUGUGGGAUGAGCUCGCGGCCUAUCAGCUUGUUGGUGGGGUAAUGGCCUACCAAGGCGUCGACGGGUAGCCGGCCUGAGAGGGUGUACGGCCACAUUAGGACUGAGAUACGGCCCAGACUCUUACGGGAGGCAGCAGUGGGGAGUAUUGCACAAUGGGCGCGAGACUGAUGCAGAGACGCCGCGUGGGGGAUGACGGCCUUCGGGUUGUAAACACCUUUCGCUAGGGACGAAGAGAAAGUGACGGUACCUGGAGAAGAAGCGCCGGCUAACUACGUG